rnacentral:rRNA from 1 species
GAUGAACGCUGGCGGCGUGCCUAACACAUGCAAGUCGAACGGAGUUGUCACCAUGAAGUUUUCGGAUGGAUUGGUAACAACUUAGUGGCGGACGGGUGAGUAACGCGUGGGUAACCUGCCUCAUACUGGGGGAUAACAGCUGGAAACGGCUGCUAAAACCGCAUAAGAUCGCAUCACCGCAUGGUGAAGCGGUUAAAUAUCGAAAGAUAGGUAUGAGAUGGGCCCGCGUCUGAUUAGCUAGUUGGUGAGAUAAGAGCCCACCAAGGCGACGAUCAGUAGCCGGCUUGAGAGAGUGACCGGCCACAUUGGGACUGAGACACGGCCCAAACUCCUACGGGAGGCAGCAGUGGGGAAUAUUGCACAAUGGGGGAAACCCUGAUGCAGCGACGCCGCGUGAGUGAAGAAGUGCUUCGGCAUGUAAAGCUCUAUCAGCAGGGAAGAAGAUGACGGUACCUGACUAAGAAGCCCCGGCUAACUACGUGCC